GAUGAAGAACGCAGCGAAAUGCGAUAAGUAAUGUGAAUUGCAGAAUUCAGUGAAUCAUCGAAUCUUUGAACGCACAUUGCGCCCGCCAGUAUUCUGGCGGGCAUGCCUGUUCGAGCGUCAUUUCAACCAUCAAGCCCCAGGCUUGUGUUGGGGACCUGCGGCUGCCGCAGGCCCUGAAAACCAGUGGCGGGCUCGCUGUCACACCGGGCGUAGUAGAUUUUAUCUCGCUCAGGGCGUGCUGCGGGUUCCGGCCGUUAAAAAGCCUUUUUUACCCAAGGUUGACCCCGGAUCAGGUAGGAAGACCCGCUGAACUUAAGCAUAUCAAUAAGCGGAGGA
rnacentral:misc_RNA from 1 species